AUCAGCAGCUUAAAGGGGAUUGUUAAGGUGGAACUGCUUUAUUCAGUGAUUGUUAAGGUGGAACUGCUUUAUUCGGUGUGUUUAAGGUGGAACUGCUUUAUUCAGUGAUUGUUAAGGUGGAACUGCUUUAUUCAGUGUGUUUAAGGUGGAACUGCUUUAUUCAGUGUGUUUAAGGUGGAACUGCUUUAUUCAGUGUGUUUAAGGUGGAACUGCUUUAUUCAGUGUGUUUAGUGGUUUUAAUCAGCGGGUCUGUUUGUGUUGGAGAGGAGGAGACCUCUGUGGAUCAUUGGGCUCCCGGUAGAAACCUCCUGAACCAUGAACACUGAAGGAAUCCUAACCGGGAGAAGCUGACUGCAAUGACGCCAAUGGUGGUGAAGACAACAACUCCCAUGAUCCCACGCUGCUUCACCACCAUAUAACUUUAUCUUGUUGUUAAUGUUUGAGUGUGAGAGAGCCCCUAGUGGCAGAAAGUACACACUGUAGCUUUAAAGAAAACAGCAGAAAUAAAGUUUCUUACUUUUGAACGUAGAUGAGGAUUCCCAGCAUGUACUGAUCCACCUCCAGACCUUCCAACAGAGCGGUUUUACUGCACACACACACACACACACACACACACACACACACACACACACACACACACACACACACACACACACACACACACACACACACACACACACACACACACACACACACAGACACACACACACACACACACACACACACACAGACACACACACACAGACAGACAGACAGACAGACAGACAGACAGACAGACAGACAGACAGACAGACAGACACACACACACACACACACACACAGACACACAGACAGACACACACACACACACACACACACACACACACACACACACACACACACACACACAGACACACACACACACACACACACACAAA